UACGAAGGGGGCUAGCGUUGCUCGGAAUUACUGGGCGUAAAGCGCACGUAGGCGGCUUUGUAAGUUAGAGGUGAAAGCCCAGGGCUUAACCCUGGAAUUGCCUUUAAGACUGCAUCGCUAGAAUCGUGGAGAGGUGAGUGGAAUUCCGAGUGUAGAGGUGAAAUUCGUAGAUAUUCGGAAGAACACCAGUGGCGAAGGCGACUCACUGGACACGUAUUGACGCUGAGGUGCGAAAGCGUGGGGAGCAAACAGG
rnacentral:rRNA from 1 species